CCUACGGGAGGCAGCAGUAGGGAAUCUUCCACAAUGGACGAAAGCCUGAUGGAGCAACGCCGCGUGGGUGAAGAAGGUCUUCGGAUCGUAAAACCCUGUUGUUAGAGGAGAAAGUGCGUGAGAGUAACUGUUCACGUUUCGACGGUAUCUAACCAGAACGCCUCGGCUAACUACGUGCCAGCAGCCGCGGUAAUACGUAGGUGGCAAGCGUUAUCCGGAUUUAUUGGGCGUAAAGGGAACGCGGGCGGUCUUUUAAGUCUGAUGUGAAAGCCUUCGGCUUAACCGGGGUAGUGCAUUGGAAACUGGGAGACUUGAGUGCAGAAGAGGUGAGUGGAAUGUCAGGUGUAGCGGUGAAAUGCGUAGAUAUAUGGAAGAACACCAGUGGCGAAAGCGGCUCUCUGAUCUGUAACUGACGCUGAGGUUCGAAAGCGUGGGUAGCAAACAGGAUUAGAUACCCGAGUAGUC
rnacentral:rRNA from 1 species